GGACCUGGCGGCGAGUGGCGACGGGUGAGUAAUAUAUCGGAACGUACCCUGGAGUGGGGGAUAACGUAGCGAAAGUUACGCUAAUACCGCAUACGAUCUAAGGAUGAAAGUGGGGGAUCGCAAGACCUCAUGCUCCUGGAGCGGCCGAUAUCUGAUUAGCUAGUUGGUAGGGUAAAAGCCUACCAAGGCAUCGAUCAGUAGCUGGUCUGAGAGGACGACCAGCCACACUGGAACUGAGACACGGUCCAGACUCCUACGGGAGGCAGCAGUGGGGAAUUUUGGACAAUGGGCGCAAGCCUGAUCCAGCAAUGCCGCGUGAGUGAAGAAGGCCUUCGGGUUGUAAAGCUCUUUUGUCAGGGAAGAAACGGAUUUUUCUAAUACAGAGACCUAAUGACGGUACCUGAAGAAUAAGCACCGGCUAACUACGUGCCAGCAGCCGCGGUAAUACGUAGGGUGCAAGCGUUAAUCGGAAUUACUGGGCGUAAAGCGUGCGCAGGCGGUUUUGUAAGUCUGUUGUGAAAUCCCCGGGCUCAACCUGGGAAUGGCAAUGGAGACUGCAAGGCUAGAGUUUGGCAGAGAGGGGUAGAAUUCCACGUGUAGCAGUGAAAUGCGUAGAUAUGUGGAGGAACACCGAUGGCGAAGGCAGCCCCCUGGGUCAAAACUGACGCUCAUGCACGAAAGCGUGGGGAGCAAACAGGAUUAGAUACCCUGGUAGUCCACGCCCUAACGAUGUCUACUAGUUGUCGGGGUCUAAUUGACUGGUACGCAGCUACGCGUGAGUAGACGCCUGGGAGUACGGUCGCAGAUUAAAACUCAAGGAAUUGACG
rnacentral:rRNA from 1 species